rnacentral:lncRNA from 10 species
AGAAAAAACUAAAACAUGCCAGAGAAGCUCAACCUUGAUAUUUGGGUUUUUGAAGAAAACCUGUAAAAGCUGUAAAACCCGAACCAUGAGGACACCCCAGGGGCACACAGUUCUGGAGGCUGAAAAUCAAGAUCAGGAUGCUGGCGUCUGACAAGGGCUUUCUUGCUGCAUCCUCACGUGGCGGAAAGUGGAAGGGCAAGAGAGAGCGAACCCAUCCUGAAAACCCCAGAUUACAGAGGCACUAAUCCAUUUAUGUGGGUGGAGCUCCCAUGACCCAAACACCUCCAAAGGCCCCACCUCCUGACAAUGUUGCACUGGGGAUUACAUUUCCAACACAUGAAUCUGGGGAGACAGAUUCAGACCACAGCAGAUGUCAAGGCUGGUUCAAAGGACAAUGUGAAGAACAAAGGCAUGCUGAAAUGAAUUUGAUAAUAGAUGCAAACUUGGGUAACAUCCUACAGGACAAUAAGGUGUAAGUAAUACUUGGGAUCAUCUUUCCUUAGACAUGAGCAUCAGUUGCAUCUACAGUGAAC